UGCGUAGGUGGUGAGGUAAGUCGGAUGUGAAAGCUCCGAGCUCAACUCGGAAAUGGCAUUGGAAACUACCUUGCUAGAGGGUUUGAGGGGGGACUGGAAUACUUGGUGUAGCAGUGAAAUGCGUAGAUAUCAAGUGGAACACCAGUGGCGAAGGCGAAUCCCUGGAAAAUACCUGACACUGAGGCACGAAAGCUGGGGAGCAAACA
rnacentral:rRNA from 1 species